rnacentral:rRNA from 1 species
GAUGAACGCUGGCGGCGUGCCUAACACAUGCAAGUCGAACGAAGCACCUUUUAAGAUUCUUCGGAUGAUUGAUUGGUGGCUGAGUGGCGGACGGGUGAGUAACGCGUGGGUAACCUGCCCUGUACAGGGGGAUAACAGUUGGAAACGGCUGCUAAUACCGCAUAAGCGCACGAGAGGACAUCCUUUUUUGUGAAAAACUCCGGUGGUACAGGAUGGGCCCGCGUCUGAUUAGCUGGUUGGCAGGGUAACGGCCUACCAAGGCGGAGAUCAGUAGCCGGUCUGAGAGGAUGAACGGCCACAUUGGAACCGGGACACGGUCCAAACUCCUACGGGAGGCAGCAGUGGGGAAUAUUGCACAAUGGGGGAAACCCUGAUGCAGCAACGCCGCGUGAGUGAAGAAGUAUUUCGGUAUGUAAAGCUCUAUCAGCAGGGAAGAUAAUGACGGUACCUGACUAAGAAGCUCCGGCUAAAUACGUGCCAGCAGCCGCCGUAA